rnacentral:ncRNA from 1 species
UCACGAGUUCUUACCACAUCGUAGCCCUGGCUGGUAAGACGGCAACCCUCCCGUUGUAGUGGGGUGCCCCAGGUGAUGAUUCGGCCUCACGGAAUACGCCGUCGGGCAAGUAC